CAGUCGCCACGGGAACACGUAGGGUGCGAGCGUUAAUCGGAAUUACUGGGCGUAAAGCGUGCGCAGGCGGUUCGUUAAGACAGAUGUGAAAUCCCCGGGCUUAACCUGGGAACUGCAUUUGUGACUGGCGAGCUAGAGUAUGGCAGAGGGGGGUAGAAUUCCACGUGUAGCAGUGAAAUGCGUAGAGAUGUGGAGGAAUACCGAUGGCGAAGGCAGCCCCCUGGGCCAUUACUGACGCUGAUGCACGAAAGCUAGGGGAGCAAACAGGAUUAGAUACCCGCGUAGUCCCUGUCUCUUAUAC
rnacentral:rRNA from 1 species